GACGAACGCUGGCGGCGUGCUUAACACAUGCAAGUCGAACGUGAUUUUUAAGGAAAGCCCUUCGGGGAAGGAAUUAAAAUGAAAGUGGCGAACGGGUGAGUAACACGUGAGCAACCUACCUUACACAGGGGGAUAGCCGUUGGAAACGACGAUUAAUACCGCAUGAGACCACAGAAUCGCAUGAUAUAGGGGUCAAAGAUUUAUCGGUGUAAGAAGGGCUCGCGUCUGAUUAGCUAGUUGGAAGGGUAAAGGCCUACCAAGGCGACGAUCAGUAGCCGGUCUGAGAGGAUGAACGGCCACAUUGGAACUGAGACACGGUCCAAACUCCUACGGGAGGCAGCAGUGGGGAAUAUUGCACAAUGGGGGGAACCCUGAUGCAGCGACGCCGCGUGAGCGAAGAAGGUUUUCGAAUCGUAAAGCUCUGUCCUAUGAGAAGAUAAUGACGGUAUCAUAGGAGGAAGCCCG
rnacentral:rRNA from 1 species